UUCUCCUGCUCCUUUGCUGAUCCCUACACAGAAGCCUGGCUCCCAUCGCAGGGGUCCCCUGAGAAUGGAGAACAAACUUAGAGGAGACACUAAGUCCUGGAGGCAUCCAAACACAUGGAGGAGAUGCCGAGUGAUCUAGAGAGACGCCAUGAAGUGGAUGGAGAGGCAGGGCAGAAGGAAGAAUUUCCCAGGAGAAGCAGUGGCUCCAUGCUAGCCUCUGCUGCAGGAAGGGAGGCGAUGCCAGGCACAGGCACAGGAG